CUUCAAAUUCCUUCUCCCAACUCGAUUUUCUCUUACUUUAAACUGUCACUGCUUCACUUCCUCUUUGAACCCUAAUCUCACUGCGAUUCAUUCUCUUCUUCUCCACCGCUUCCACCUCUCUCGGUUUUUCAUCAUCGGCGGCUUCUAUGAAGAAGGCGGCGCAAAGGAGGCUCGAGGGCUUAUUAAGGAAUGCGGCAAGGGCCAACGAAGGGGGAAAACGAAAGAGCGUGCGUUUCCUUCCUCAUUGAACCCUAAAUCAAAACUGUGUUGCUGAGGUUUUUGAUAUCAAAUCGUCCAAACUCAAGGCUCCUGGAUUCAAAUCAGUUACAACAAAGCUCCUUUUCAUCCUUUUGGUAAUUUUCUUCAAAGGUGUUGAUUUCAAGAUGAAAACGCUCACCGUAGUGGAAAAAGAUUAAAACUUACAAUUUGGGACACAGAUGGCAGAUAAAGUUAAAGAAAAAGUUGCAUCUAUCUAAUGUCCCACAUCCUCAUGUUGCAUCUGCUACUAGGACAUCUAAUGUCUCACUUUCUCAUGUUGAAUCUGCGACUAGGACAUCUAAUGUCACACCUCCAUCUUCAAUAAGAGGGGUAGCAUCACCAUCUAAUUCUAAAACAGAAUUUGCAGCAGAAACACACAUAAUCAAAAAAACUUAAUACACACCAUAUUUAUGUAAACAAAAUAAAUUAACUUUACCAAAUUAGCUCUAUGUUGCGAUGUAGUGAUAGAGCCACAAGUGUGAAGGGGCUUUCCAAAACCUCCAGAGUAAAAUGCUCGAUUUGUUUUCUCCUGUAUACUCUUCUUUUUAAAUCCUGAAGUUCCUCAAUGCUCACAUAAUGUAUUCCACACAUUCGGAUCAAUCCAACUUGGUCUUUUCCUUGUGAGACAAACCUUGUUUAAGUUAUUUUUCAUUAUUGCUGCACCUCGUCUUUCAAAGUUCUUUCUGGCCCAUGCAUCAUCCGGCAGACAAAAAUUAAACUUUUAUAUGUUGAAUCUGCUACUAGGACAUCUAAUGUCACACCUCCAUCUUAAAUAAGAGGGGUAGCAUCACCAUCUAAUUCACAACCAUUUGUUUACGAUGGAGCACAAACCCCAAGAUUAAGUGAAACUGUCGUUCCAUUUGAGACACAAAGUAGUGGCGGAAAGCAAACUUUAAUCCUUGAGUUACAAGAUUUUUGCCUUCGUAUGCUGCAGCUGGUGGGAUUGGAGAUAUCAUGAGGAGUAAUUAUGGUAUGCCAUGGAACUCAUGGAAACAAAUAGAUAUUAAUACGAGGGACUUGUGGUUUGGAGAGUUUAAGAAAAAAUUUAAUUUUUGUCCACCGGAUGAUUCAUGGGCUGGAAAGAACUUUGAAAGACGAGGUGCCGCAAUAAUGAAAAAUAACUUAAACAAGGUUUGUCUCACAAGGAAAAGACCAAUUUGGAUGGAUCUGAAUGUGUGGAAUACAUUAUGUGAGCAUUGAGGAACUUCAGGAUUUAAAAAGAAGAGUAUACAAGAGAAAACAAAUCGAGCAUUUUACUCUGGAGGUUUUGGAAAGCCCCUUCACACUUGUGGCUCUAUCACCACAUCGCAACAUAGAGCUAAUUUGCCAUCUUUUCCCACAAGACGGUUGUGCGAUGGGUUUCUGGCUCUGCAUCAUCCUCUGCCGUGGUCAAUCUUUGGUGGUUCGCUCCAUGUGAGCUCUUCCGCCGUUGAUUUCCAUGGCUGUUUUGUUUCGCCGUCGGCCGUGUUUCCCAGUUCCGGUUCCUUUGUAUCUUAUUGACCUCUUCCACGUCGGUGUCGACUAUUUGGAUGCGGACUGCGAGCUGGGGCUUAUCUGCCAAGGUUUUCAUUCUACUGUUGCCCCAUCAAUUUUUUGGCUUGCAGAGCUGUUUUUGGAUUUCGAUGGGCAGAUCACUUUUGAUUCGAGAUAGGAAGUUAGAGUCUAGAGGCAUCUUUUUGGGUCGGAUUGAUGGUCCUCUUUGGUGGUCUGGAGCCUGAGGAGUGUUCUUCUAAGAAUGAGAUUAGAAGUGAAUCUACUAGACUUUUUUUUUUUUUUUUGUAUGCUAACUUAAGGGCUUUUUUUUUUCACAAUAAUAUAAUGCAUUUUUUUUAAAGCGAUGAGAAUAAAAUAGACUUUUUGUUUUUUUUUUCAUCAGAAAAUAGUAGAUCAGAAAUAAAAAGGAAGGCAAGACAUUUUUAGUAGGAAUUAAAACAUAGACUUUCGAGAAGUUUUUCUUAUUCUUCUUUCUUCGGUAGUGUUUUCAGGAGUGUUAAUCAAAUUGGAGGUGUAAAAUUCAUUGAAAGGCCUCAAAGCAAAGAUCGUAUACCUUUUUCUCUUAUGUAACAGAUGAUAAACAGCAUAAUGGAUAGUGUCAAUGUGAUAGAUAUGAAUUUUGAUUUGAAUGAAUGUCUAAUAGAAGAUAUUUCUCAUGAGAAUGGUAACUCAGCAAUAAUUGUGGAGCAUUUUGAUCAUGCUAUUGUGGCAAAUGAUGUGUUAGAAGUUGAUGACAUUGGAAGUUUUGAGAAAGAAAAUCUCGUACCUUCUAUUGAGAAUAUUCGGGUAAAUGAAUUUUUAGAAGAAGUUGAUAAAGAUGAAACUUGUAGUGAGACAAAUAUUGUUCUUUUUGAGACAAAAUAUUAUUCCUUUUGUUGGUCAAAUUUUUCUUACCGAAGAAGAAGCAUUUGCCUUUUAUAUCAACAUGGCUUCUCAAUUUGAAAAAGCUAGAUUCGCCUAACAAAAUGGAAUUAUUAGUUGGCGUGUUUUUUUGUCACCACGAAGGUAGUGUUUCAUUGAAAAUCAUAGACCCAUCAAAAGAACAGAUAAAAAGAGAAUCAUCAAGGUGUGAAUGUAAAGCUCAUUUACGAAUUUCAUUACAAAAGUCUCAUGAUAUAUUUCCAAGUGAGUGACGAGUUACAAAGUUUGUUGUUGAACAUAACCAUGGUUUGCUAACUCAAUCAAAGGUGCGUUUUUUACCAGCUUAUCGAACUAUCUUAGAUGUAGAUUAUGAACACAUUUUCUUAUUAAAAGAAGGAGGACUUUUAGCAAGACAAAUAGAACUUUUGGUUAGACAAAUAAAGCUCAUUAAUAAGAAAAUGCAUCCAUAAUCUUCUUCUAAGAUAGUUCGAUAAGCCGGUAAAAAACGCACCUCUGAUUGAGUUAGCAAACCAUGGUUAUGUUCAGCAACGCCACUCACUUGGAAAUAUAUCAUGAGACUUUUGUAAUGAAAUUCGUAAAUGAGCUUUACAUUCACACCUUGAUGAUUCUCUUUUUCUCUGUUCUUUUGACGGGUCUAUGAUUUUCAAGGAAACACUACCUUCACGGUGACGAAAAAAAUCACGCCUGCUAAUAAUUCCAUUUUGUUUGACAAAUCUACCUUUUCAAAUUGCGAACCCAUGUUGAUAUGCAUAUCUCUUAUAAAAGGUAAAUGCUUCUUCUUCGGUAAGAAAAAUUUGACCAACAAAAGGAAUAAUAUUUUGUCCAUCUUUAUCAACUUCUUCUAAAAAUUGAUUUACCUGAAUAUUCUCACGAUAAGGUGCGAGAUUUUCUUUCUCAAAAUUUCCAAUGUCAUCAACUUCUAACACAUCAUUUGCCACAAUGGCAUGAUCAAAAUGCUUCACACUUAUUGUUGAGUUACCAUUCUCAUGAGAAAUAUCUUCUAUUGGACAUUCAUUCAAAUCAAAAUUCUUAUCUAUCACAUUGACACUAUCCAUUAUGCUGUUUAUCAUCUACAAAUAGAAACAAUAAAUAAAAAGUGUAUUUUAAAACUCUAUUGCAAGUGUUAAAUAAUAUAAUAAAAGGUAUACAUUUACAUGUGCUGUUACGCAAAAACACUAUCAUGCAAGUAUUGAACAAAAACACUAAUUUAAAAUUUGAGAACAUGUACAUGUUACAUAACAGAAAAAUGUAUACAAUAUUUUGAGGGCUUUCAAUGAAUUUUACAUCUUCAAUUUGAUUAACACUCUCAUAAAUGCAAAUGCUACUGAAGAAAGAAGAAUAAGAAAAAUUUCUUGAAAGUCUAUAUUUUAAUUCAU